rnacentral:rRNA from 1 species
GACGAACGCUGGCGGCGUGCUUAACACAUGCAAGUCGAACGGAAAGGCCCUGCUUUUGUGGGGUGCUCGAGUGGCGAACGGGUGAGUAACACGUGAGUAACCUGCCCUUGACUUUGGGAUAACUUCAGGAAACUGGGGCUAAUACCGGAUAGGAGCUCCUGCUGCAUGGUGGGGGUUGGAAAGUUUCGGCGGUUGGGGAUGGACUCGCGGCUUAUCAGCUUGUUGGUGGGGUAGUGGCUUACCAAGGCUUUGACGGGUAGCCGGCCUGAGAGGGUGACCGGCCACAUUGGGACUGAGAUACGGCCCAGACUCCUACGGGAGGCAGCAGUGGGGAAUAUUGCACAAUGGGCGGAAGCCUGAUGCAGCAACGCCGCGUGCGGGAUGACGGCCUUCGGGUUGUAAACCGCUUUCGCCUGUGACGAAGCGUGAGUGACGGUAAUGGGGAAAGAAGCUCCGGCUAACUACGU